rnacentral:rRNA from 1 species
GGCGAACGCUGGCGGCGUGCUUAACACAUGCAAGUCGAACGGAAAGGCCCUGCUUUUGUGGGGUGCUCGAGUGGCGAACGGGUGAGUAACACGUGAGUAACCUGCCCUUGACUUUGGGAUAACUUCAGGAAACUGGGGCUAAUACCGGAUAGGAGCUCCUGCUGCAUGGUGGGGGUUGGAAAGUUUCGGCGGUUGGGGAUGGACUCGCGGCUUAUCAGCUUGUUGGUGGGGUAGUGGCUUACCAAGGCUUUGACGGGUAGCCGGCCUGAGAGGGUGACCGGCCACAUUGGGGCUGAGAUACGGCCCAGACCCCUACGGGAGGCAGCAGUGGGGAAUAUUGCACAAUGGGCGGAAGCCUGAUGCAGCAACGCCGCGUGCGGGAUGACGGCCUUCGGGUUGUAAACCGCUUUCGCCUGUGACGAAGCGUGAGUGACGGUAAUGGGUAAAGAAGCACCGGCUAACUACGUG